GGAUAUUUUAAGAAAUAAAUGCGGAAAAAAAAGCGGAGAAAAAACGGCGAAGGGGAAAAGGGCGAAGGAAAAAUAAAGCAUAUUUUUCCUUCGCCCUUUUCCCCUUCGCCCGUUUUUCCUUCGCCCUUUUCCC